rnacentral:piRNA from 1 species
CUUGAUGCCAUCAUUGGCAAAGCAGUGGAAC